GUAAGUUGCUGUAAUGUUAGUCCUUUUUUGUUGUUGUAAAGGAUGGAGAAUAAUAGACGUCCGUCCAGUGAGCCAGCUCAAAUCCGGGUCGGGGAAAAAAGGUGUCCUACGAUUGACUGGCGAUCAAGUCGGGGGUAAUGCCCGUCUCUCGCCCAAAGCCAGCCAGGAUGGGCUCCCGCUCGCCUAAUGAGGACAAGCAGCGCUAUAGAAAAUGGAUGGAGCAGGUCUACGACCACGCGUGUGUGAAUCCUAAUGUCUGGACGGGGAGCUGGGCGGCAAGCGAGAGCGAGGCUGACAGCGGUGCUCGACACGGGCAUUAAAUCAUGCCCCGAGGAGUCCUCCAUCCACGCGCCCCGCGACAGCCGCGCUGUCAUCACGGCCGGGCCGCUUCCGAUGUCUCUUGACAUCGCCGCGGCAGAAUUAGUCGCAGCAUCAGAUGUAAAUUGCCGCUGUUCAAGGAUGAUAACGAGCGCCGAGAUACACGUCGGUGUCGGUGACGCCGCGGGGCCUUGACGGGCUGUCCCGAAAGCCGCCCUCGGUUAGGCCUAAUGGCGUUCCGGUAAGGCCGGGAAGGUGGCAGCGGGCGAUGGACAAGCGGAAAGCGUUCUGGUCUCGGUGCCUGUUGCAGAAGCUGAUGUCACUUCAACCAUUCGGAUGGAAUGACUUUUGCAACUUGCUCUUCUCGACUGUAGCAAGGAGCUGAACAGAAAGAAAAAACAAAACAAACAAAAACAUGUAUUUGAGCCAUGAACGGACUAAUACAUUUCCUAGGACA